AUUGAACGCUGGCGGCAGGCCUAACACAUGCAAGUCGAGCGAGCGGCGGACGGGUGAGUACUGUAUGGGGACUGCCCGAUAGAGGGGGAUAACUACUGGAAACGGUAGCUAAUACCGCAUACUAUCGGAUGACCCAUAUGGGAUUAGCUAGUAGGUUAGGUAAUGGCUCACCUAGGCGACGAUCCCUAGCUGGUCUGAGAGGAUGAUCAGCCACACUGGGACUGAGACACGGCCCAGACUCCUACGGAGGCAGCAGUGGGGAAUAUUGCACAAUGGGCGCAAGCCGGAUGCAGCCAUGCCGCGUGUAUGAAGAAGGCCCUAGGGUUGUAAAGUACUUUUGGCAGAGAAGCGGUAUCUGCAGAAUAAGCACCGGCUAACUACGUGCCAGCAGCCGCGGUAAUAC
rnacentral:rRNA from 1 species